rnacentral:lncRNA from 10 species
AGGACUUUGGUGACUGAACAUGAGAGCAGCUGUGGCCAGUGUAGGGAGUGGCACUGAUAGAAGAGAUACAGCUGCUGCCACGGAGGCCCAACAUCUGAGUUCAGAAUCUAAAGAAAAAACAUCAGCACAAAAAUCAGGGCACCCUUUUGGAAUCUUGAAAGCAGACUUUACCAUCUCAACUCUGAUGGACCCAGAAGAGAUGAAAGACCAAUUUCUGAGACAGGUGAGACUUCUGCACACUCUUCUAAUUCUGAUCAGAUGAUUGGACAUUGCAAGACAAUCUUAUAAAAACCAAUAUAUUAAGGUGGAAAACCUGUGGAAUAUGACCUCAUCUUGUUCCACUGCCAUCACUUUGGCUCAUGGUGACAAGUUGGUUAUGUGGCAAGAUCUUUUUGGAUCUUUUCUUACCCUCUCCAAUGUCUUUCCUAAGUUUUUUUUUUUGUUGUUUUUUUGUUUUUUUGUUUUUUUUUGGUCAAGACAGCACGGUCAGAGGGAUCUGAGCGUGGGUCUUAGUUUUGCCCUUAUCCAUUGUGUAGCUUUGGGCAAGUAACUUAGUCUUUCUGAGCCUCAGUUUCCUCCUGAAAUAAGAAUGAUAAUAAUAAUGCCUAACUCACAUGGUUGGUGUUAUGAUUAAAUGAUAUAUUCCAUAUAAAGUGCUUAGCAAAUAAUCUGACACAUAGUUGGUGCUCAAUAAACAUUAGCUAUUAUUUUUGAGUCAGGGUCUUGCUUUGUCCACCUUGGCUGGAGUGCAAUGGUGUGAUUAUAGCUCACUGCAACCUCCAAUUCUUGGGCUCAAGCAAUACUCCUGCCUCAGCCUCCCAAAGGGCUGGGAUUAUAAGCGUGAGCCACUACGCCUGGCCAGCUAUUAUUAUUAUCAACAUUAUCACUGUAGUGUUCUGAAUAUACAUUUGUUCCAGACUUUAUUUUUUUUGGUUCUUAAAAACUACUGUGCCAUGGGAGACUGUGGAGGAAGAAUUGUUCCUAAAUACUGAGAGAAAAGCUUCAAGCCGAUUUUUGAACAUAGUCUAAGGACACAUUUCUCAAUUAUAUCAGAUAAUAACCACAGAAUGUCAGUGCUAGAGAGUACCCUAUACACCAUUUAGCCACAAUCUUAAUUUUACAGACAAGGAAACAUUGGCAUUUACCUGUUAGUUCAUUGCAAUUUAUUCAUAGGCCAAACAAAUAUCACCCUGGGAAUUCAUUCUAGAAUUUCACAAAAUCAAGUUUCUAGAAAGACCAGUAAUAUGUGUGUGUGAGUAUAUAAUGUAUAUGUGUUUACUAUAAAUUUUACUGAUAUAAAGAAU